GACGAACGCUGGCGGCGUGCUUAACACAUGCAAGUCGAACGACGAACCGGGUGCUUGCACCUGGGGAUUAGUGGCGAACGGGUGAGUAACACGUGAGUAACCUGCCCUGGACUCUGGGAUAACCCCGAGAAAUCGGAGCUAAUACCGGAUAGGACCUUCUCCCGCAUGGGGGUUGGUGGAAAGUUCUUCGGUCUGGGAUGGACUCGCGGCCUAUCAGCUUGUUGGUGAGGUAAUGGCUCACCAAGGCGUCGACGGGUAGCCGGCCUGAGAGGGUGGCCGGCCACACUGGGACUGAGACAGGGCCCAGACUCCUACGGGAGGCAGCAGUGGGGAAUAUUGCACAAUGGGCGCAAGCCUGAUGCAGCAACGCCGCGUGCGGGAUGACGGCCUUCGGGUUGUAAACCGCUUUUAGUAGGGAAGAAGGGCUUCGGCUUGGCGGUACCUGCAGAAAAAGGACCGGCUAACUACGUGCCAGCCGCCGCAGUAACAC
rnacentral:rRNA from 1 species